rnacentral:rRNA from 1 species
GACGGGGGAUGCAAGUGUUAUCCGGAAUCACUGGGCGUAAAGCGUCUGUAGGUGGUCAAAUAAGUCAACUGUUAAAUCUUGAGGCUCAACCUCAAAAUCGCAGUCGAAACUAUUAGGCUAGAGUAUAGUAGGGGUAAAGGGAAUUUCCAGUGGAGCGGUGAAAUGCGUAGAGAUUGGAAAGAACACCGAUGGCGAAGGCACUUUACUGGGCUAUUACUAACACUCAGAGACGAAAGCUAGGGUAGCAAAUGGG